rnacentral:tRNA from 1 species
UGGGAUAGCUCAGUUGGUAGAGCAGAGGACUGAAAAUCCUCG